GAGUUUGAUCAUGGCUCAGAACGAACGCUGGCGGCAGGCUUAACACAUGCAAGUCGAACGCCCUCUUCGGAGGGAGUGGCAGACGGGUGAGUAACACGUGGGAACCUACCUAGGGGUACGGAAUAACUCGGGGAAACUCGUGCUAAUACCGUAUACGACCUUCGGGUGAAAGAUUUAUCGCCCCUAGAUGGGCCCGCGCUGGAUUAGCUAGUUGGUGGGGUAAAAGCCUACCAAGGCGACGAUCCAUAGCUGGUCUGAGAGGAUGAUCAGCCACACUGGGACUGAGACACGGCCCAGACUCCUACGGGAGGCAGCAGUGGGGAAUCUUGGACAAUGGGCGCAAGCCUGAUCCAGCCAUGCCGCGUGAGUGAUGAAGGCCCUAGGGUUGUAAAGCUCUUUCGCCAGGGAAGAUAAUGACGGUACCUGGAUAAGAAGCCCCGGCUAACUCCGUGCCAGCAGCCGCGGUA
rnacentral:rRNA from 1 species